UCCUACGGGGGGCAGCAGUGGGGAAUAUUGCACAAUGGGGGAAACCCUGAUGCAGCGACGCCGCGUGAGCGAAGAAGUAUUUCGGUAUGUAAAGCUCUAUCAGCAGGGAAGAAAAUGACGGUACCUGACUAAGAAGCCCCGGCUAAAUACGUGCCAGCAGCCGCGGUAAUACGUAUGGGGCACGCGUUUUCCGGAUUUACUGGGUGUAAGGGGAGCGCAGGCGGCUUGGCAAGUCUGAUGUGAAAGGCUGGGGCUCAACCCCAGGACUGCCUUUGAAACUGUUAGGUUGGUGUGUCGGUGAGGUA
rnacentral:rRNA from 1 species